rnacentral:lncRNA from 1 species
CUGCAUGCUAACACAAGGAUAGCUUAUUUAAGUGGAAACAUGGUUACAGGCUUGUUUAUUUUUGUAAAUGGUAUGUAAUUAACCAAGAGAAGUUUGACACUAGGUUUUAAAAACUCCUAAAAAUCAGGUCUUUACAUAGACAUUCAGUAAAAAUACUGUGAAUCAAAUAAAUAAAGACAUAUUUUCAUUAUGUUUAAUGUUUUCUGCUACAUUCUCUACACUGUAAUAUAACGACAGGAGAUUUUCCUAAUUUAUCUAAUAGGUAAAUGAGAAUUUUUAAUUUAAUUCUUUGUACUUUUCCCAUCAGUUUAAAAUCAACCUCUGUUGCCUUUUCCCUUAUUUCUUAAUUUGUAAUGCAAGUAUUUUGAUAGAGCUUAGGAUAUUUUUGCCUAUUUGAGAAAAUGUGUUCUGUUGAUUUUACUUCCUUAUAAUUUUAGUUUUUAUACAUGCUACAAUUUAACUAAAAAUAGUUAUUUAAUGACUACUUGAAUCAAAUGGCAGAGGAAUUGGUAAAAGAGAACUUCACAAAUUACAAAUGU